rnacentral:rRNA from 1 species
UGAAACUGGAUUUCUUGAGGGCAGGAGAGGAAAGUGGAAUUCCUGGUGUAGCGGUGAAAUGCGUAGAAAUCAGGAGGAACACCGGUGGCGAAGGCGACUUACUGGACUGACCCUGACGCUG